UACGGGGGGUGCGAGCGUUGUCCGGAUUCACUGGGCGUAAAGGGCGCGUAGGCGGCUGGCUCAGUCGGGCCUGUAAGUGCGGGGCUCAACCCCGUGAUGGGCUCGGGACGGGCCGGCUGGGGCGCGGUCGAGGGAGACGGAAUGCCGGGUGUAGUGGUGAAAUGCGUAGAGAUCCGGCGGAACACCGGUGGCGAAGGCGGCUUCCUGGACCGAUUACUGACGCUGAGGCGCGAAAGCUAGGGGAGCAAACGGG
rnacentral:rRNA from 1 species